rnacentral:tRNA from 1 species
GAGGGUAUAGCUCAGUGGUAGAGUGCAUGCUUAGCAUGCACAAGGUUCUGGGUUCACUCCCCAGUACCACCA